rnacentral:rRNA from 1 species
UACGUAGGGUGCGAGCGUUGUCCGGAAUUACUGGGCGUAAAGCGCACGUAGGCGGCUUUGCAAGUCAGAGGUGAAAGCCCGGGGCUCAACCCCGGAAUAGCCUUUGAGACUGCAUCGCUUGAACAUCGGAGAGGUAAGUGGAAUUCCGAGUGUAGAGGUGAAAUUCGUAGAUAUUCGGAAGAACACCAGUGGCGAAGGCGACUUACUGGACGAUUGUUGACGCUGAGGUGCGAAAGCGUGGGGAGCAAACAGG